rnacentral:rRNA from 1 species
GACGAACGCUGGCGGCGUGCUUAACACAUGCGAGUCGAACGGAAAGGCCAUGCUUGUAGGGUACUCGCGUGGCGAACGGGUGAGUAACACGUGGGUGAUCUGCCCUGCUCUUCGGGUUAAGUCUGGUCAACUGGGUCUAAUACCGGCUAGGAGCCAUUUUUAGUGUGAUGGUUGGAAAGUUUUUUCGGUGUUGGAUGAGCUCGCGGCCUAUCAGCUUGCUGGUGUGGUAAUGGCCUACCAAGGCGGCGACGGGUAGCCGGCCUGUGAGGGUGGACGGCCACAUUGGGACUGAGAGACGGCCCAGACUCCGACGGGAGGCAGCAGUGGGGAAUAUUGCACGAUGGGCGCAAGCCUGAUGCAGCGACGCCGCGUGGGGUAUGACGGCCUUCGGGUUGUAAACUCCUUUCGCUAGGGACGAAGCUUUUUGUGACGGUACCUAGAUAAGAAGCACCGGCUAACUACGUG